rnacentral:rRNA from 1 species
GACGAACGCUGGCGGCGUGCUUAACACAUGCAAGUCGAACGGAAAGGCCCUUCGGGGUACUCGAGUGGCGAACGGGUGAGUAACACGUGGGUGAUCUGCCCUGCACUUUGGGAUAAGCCUGGGAAACUGGGUCUAAUACCGAAUAUGACCAUGCGCCUCCUGGUGUGUGGUGGAAAGCUUUUGCGGUGUGGGAUGGGCCCGCGGCCUAUCAGCUUGUUGGUGGGGUAAUGGCCUACCAAGGCGACGACGGGUAGCCGGCCUGAGAGGGUGACCGGCCACACUGCGGACUGAGAUACGGCCCAGACUCCUACGGGAGGCAGCAGUGGGGAAUAUUGCACAAUGGGCGCAAGCCUGAUGCAGCGACGCCGCGUGAGGGAUGACGGCCUUCGGGUUGUAAACCUCUUUCAGCACAGACGAAGCGCAAGUGACGGUAUGUGCAGAAGAAGGACCGGCCAACUACGUGCCAGCAGCCGCGGUAAUACGUAGGGUCCGAGCGUUGUCCGGAAUUACUGGGCGUAAAGAGCUCGUAGGUGGUUUGUCGCGUUGUUCGUGAAAACUCACAGCUUAACUGUGGGCGUGCGGGCGAUACGGGCAGACUUGAGUACUGCAGGGGAGACUGGAAUUCCUGGUGUAGCGGUGGAAUGCGCAGAUAUCAGGAGGAACACCGGUGGCGAAGGCGGGUCUCUGGGCAGUAACUGACGCUGAGGAGCGAAAGCGUGGGGAGCGAACAGGAUUAGAUACCCUGGUAGUCCACGCCGUAAACGGUGGGUACUAGGUGUGGGUUUCCUUCCUUGGGAUCCGUGCCGUAGCUAACGCAUUAAGUACCCCGCCUGGGGAGUACGGCCGCAAGGCUAAAACUCAAAGAAAUUGACGGGGGCCCGCACAAGCGGCGGAGCAUGUGGAUUAAUUCGAUGCAACGCGAAGAACCUUACCUGGGUUUGACAUGCACAGGACGACUGCAGAGAUGUGGUUUCCCUUGUGGCCUGUGUGCAGGUGGUGCAUGGCUGUCGUCAGCUCGUGUCGUGAGAUGUUGGGUUAAGUCCCGCAACGAGCGCAACCCUUGUCCUAUGUUGCCAGCGGGU